GCAUCAUUUGCACCCAAAACAGAACCCAACCUCCAUCUCCCUCUCUCUAAAAAAAUCCGGUCACCGGAUUAGGGUUCCGGCGACCCUUCCGGCGCCGCCUUUCCGGUGAGCCACAGCCAAACAAACCGGACAAGACCCCCACCUCUACCACUCUCGUUCUCCUCUCCCUCCCAGCACAAACGGCCGACCACCACCGCAGUGGUGGCGGCGCACAAACAACAGCAACAAUCGCAUUCUUGCGGCGUUGAAGGUGUUGUGGUGGAAAUCAAGGCGACGGCGGCAGCGGCACGAGCUUGGUCCGACGAGCUCCAACCGGUUUCAUGAACGGUUCAACACGGUUCAGUUCAGUUGGUUCGGGUCAUGUCAGUUUCGGUUCCGGCUCGGGUCUCGGUUCAAGAUUUGGACUUUAUUUUCGGUUCGGGUCAUGGUUCCAGUUUCUAGUUCAAGAUUCGAUUCCAGUUCGGGUGCUACGGGUCAGACUCGAGCUUCGGUUCAGCAUGUCAGCUCCGGUUCAGUUUUCAUCGAGUCAACGUGGUGUCUUGGUUCGGUUCAGUUUUGGCUCAUGUUCAGUUCGUGUCAGCUUCGGUUCGGUCAACAGUAGUCAACUGGUCAAACCCGGUUAACUAACGGGUCAACGACUCAUUCGAAAUUCGGAUAAACACUCUCGUUCGUACUCUUGGAUUCCCAAUCUUACUCGUGCGUUACUUACAAGAAAUCGCAAACGCAACCAAUGUUGAUGAGGACGAUGCUAAGAAAAGAAGUAGCGUUGAUGCCUAGAUACACAU